GCCACAAUAGGGUUUACAUCAGGCACUCUUCCAGUUAAAUACCCUGGGGUUCCUCUGGUUUUUGGUAGACUUUCAGUAAAAGACUGUGAUCACAACUUAGGUUUCUAGUUGAAAAGUAAAAACUUUAAAUUAUGCAGGACGUUUACAGUUGAUCGCCUCUAUAUUAAGUGCAAUGAGUCAAUCUGGCUUUUGGUUUUUGUUCUUCCUUUUGCAGUUAUUAAAGUUGUUGAAAGGAUAUGUAGUGACUUUUAUGGAAAAUC
rnacentral:lncRNA from 1 species